CCUACGGGAGGCAGCAGUGAGGAAUAUUGGUCAAUGGGCGUAAGCCUGAACCAGCCAAGUAGCGUGAGGGAUGAAGGUUCUAUGGGUCGUAAACCUCUUUUAUAAAGGAAUAAAGUGCGGGACGUGUCCCUUUUUGUAUGUACUUUAUGAAUAAGGAUCGGCUAACUCCGUGCCAGCAGCCGCGGUAAUACGGAGGAUCCGAGCGUUAUCCGGAUUUAUUGGGUUUAAAGGGUGCGUAGAUGGCUUGUUAAGUCAGCGGUGAAAGUCUGUGGCUCAACCGUAGAAUUGCCGUUGAAACUGGGAGGCUUGAGUAUGUUUGAGGCAGGCGGAAUGCGUGGUGUAGCGGUGAAAUGCUUAGAUAUCACGCAGAACCCCGAUUGCGAAGGCAGCCUGCUAAGCCACGACUGACGCUGAUGCACGAAAGUGUGGGUAUCAAACAGGAUUAGAUACCCGGGUAGUC
rnacentral:rRNA from 1 species